rnacentral:rRNA from 1 species
AGUGAACGCUGGCGGUAGGCCUAACACAUGCAAGUCGAACGGCAGCACAGUAAGAGCUUGCUCUUACGGGUGGCGAGUGGCGGACGGGUGAGGAAUACAUCGGAAUCUACUUUUUCGUGGGGGAUAACGUAGGGAAACUUACGCUAAUACCGCAUACGACCUACGGGUGAAAGCAGGGGAUCUUCGGACCUUGCGCGAUUGAAUGAGCCGAUGUCGGAUUAGCUAGUUGGCGGGGUAAAGGCCCACCAAGGCGACGAUCCGUAGCUGGUCUGAGAGGAUGAUCAGCCACACUGGAACUGAGACACGGUCCAGACUCCUACGGGAGGCAGCAGUGGGGAAUAUUGGACAAUGGGCGCAAGCCUGAUCCAGCCAUACCGCGUGGGUGAAGAAGGCCUUCGGGUUGUAAAGCCCUUUUGUUGGGAAAGAUAAGCAGCAGGUUAAUACCCCGCUGUUCUGACGGUACCCAAAGAAUAAGCACCGGCUAACUUCGU